GACGAACGCUGGCGGCGUGCUUAACACAUGCAAGUCGAACGAAGUGGCGAACGGGUGAGUAACGCGUAAUCAACCUGCCCUUCAGAGGGGGACAACAGUUGGAAACGACUGCUAAUACCGCAUACUGAAGGAGGGGUUUGCGUCGGAUUAGCCAGUUGGAGGGGUAACGGCCAACCAAGGCGAUGAUCAGUAGCCGGUCGGGUGUGAGUGACGGCACAAUUGGGACUGAGACACGGCCCAGACUCCUACGGGAGGCAGCAGUGGGGAAUCUUCCGCAAUGGACGAAAGUCUGACGGAGCAACGCCGCGUGAGUGAUGACGGCCUUCGGGUUGUAAAGCUCUGUUAAUCGGGACGCGGUACCGGAAUAGAAAGCCACGGCUAACUACGUGCCAGCAGCCGCGGUAAUAC
rnacentral:rRNA from 1 species